rnacentral:rRNA from 1 species
CAGCGCCACGAGUGGGGAUCAGCUUUAUUGGGCCUAAAGCGUCCGUAGCUGGUUUAAUAAAUCCCUUGUGAAAUCAUCGGGCUUAACUCGAUGACGUGCAGGGGACACUGUUAAACUCGAGACCGGGAGGGGUUAGGGGUAUUUUAAGGGGAGCGGUAAAAUGCUAUAAUCCUUAGAGGACCACCUGUGGCGAAGGCGCCUAACCAGAACGGAUCUGACAGUGAGGGACGAAAGCUAGGGGAGCGAUCCGGAUUAGAUACCCGAGUAGUCC